CCUAUUACUAUAAAUCACCACCACCUCCAUCGCCAUCACCUCCACCUCCAUAUUACUACAAGUCUCCACCACCGCCAUCUCCAUCACCGCCACCACCCUAUUACUACAAGUCUCCUCUUUCACCGUCGCCUUCUCCUCCACCUCCAUACUAUUACCACUCUCCACCCCCUCCAGUAAAGUCUCCUCCUCCUGCCUAUUACUACAGCUCACCUCCUCCACCCGUGAAAUCACCACCUCCACCAGUAUACAUUUAUGCUUCUCCGCCACCUCCAAUCCACUACUAAGUAUUUCUAAGAGCUCAGCCAUUCUCCACAAUCAAUCAAGUGAGUUGCUG
rnacentral:lncRNA from 1 species